rnacentral:rRNA from 1 species
UACGGGGGGAGCAAGCGUUGUUCGGAUUUACUGGGCGUAAAGGGCGCGUAGGCGGCCCUGUAAGUCCGCUGUGAAAGUCAAGGGCUCAACCUUUGAAAGCCGGUGGAUACUGCAGGACUAGAGUACGGAAGAGGCGAGUGGAAUUCCUGGUGUAGCGGUGGAAUGCGCAGAUAUCAGGAGGAACACCAAUAGCGAAGGCAGCUCGCUGGGACGUUACUGACACUGAGGCGCGAAAGCGUGGGGAGCGAACAGG